rnacentral:rRNA from 1 species
ACACGUGAUUCAGAGUUUGAUCCUGGCUCAGGAUGAACGCUAGCGGCAGGCUUAACACAUGCAAGUCGAGGGGCAGCAUGAGGGUUAGCAAUAACCCUUGAUGGCGACCGGCGCAAGGGUGCGUAACGCGUGAGCAACUUGCCCGUUUCAGGGGGAUAACCGGUGGAAACGCCGACUAAUACCCCAUGGUAUGUUUUUGAGGCAUCUCUUAAACAUUAAAGAAAUUCGGAAACGGAUAGGCUCGCGUGACAUUAGCUAGAUGGCGGGGUAACGGCCCACCAUGGCGACGAUGUCUAGGGGUUCUGAGAGGAAGGUCCCCCACACUGGAACUGAGACACGGUCCAG